GGUCGUGUAGUUUAGAUGGUGAAAAUACCCGCCUGUCACGUGGGAGAUCGCGAGUUCGAUCCUCGUCACGACCGCCA
rnacentral:tRNA from 1 species